ACCCCGCUGGAAUUAAGCAUAUCAAUAAGUGGAGGAAAAGAAACCAACCGGGAUUGCCUUAGUAACGGCGAGUGAAGCGGCAACAGCUCAAAUUUGAAAUCUGCCAUCCGGCUGAGUUGUAAUUUAUAGAGGAUGUUGUGGAAUCUGUAUGGACUCAAGUUCUUUGGAAAAAGACGCCAUGGAGAGUGACAGACUCGUACUUUCCAAUACAUUUUCCGUGUACAGCUCCUUCAAAGAGUCGAGUUGUUUGGGAAUGCAGCUCAAAAUGGGACGUAAAUUUGUUCCAAAGCUAAAUACCGGCUAGAGACCGAUAGCGCACAAGUAGAGUGAUCGAAAGAUGAAAAGCACUUUGAAAAGAGAGUUAAACAGCACGUGAAAUUGUUGAAAGGGAAGCUUGCGUCAUCAGCAAUGACGUCACUGUUCAGCCUUGGUGUAUUCAGUGCCCGUCAGGCCAGCAUCGAUUGGGGUAGUUGGACAAAAGUGUUGGAAAUGUAGCUCGUCCGCGAGUGUUAUAGUCCGAUACAGCAUGCAACUCAUCCCGAUCGAGGACCGCUUAAAGGAUGCUGGCAUAAUGAUGGCCCAAGGCCCGUCUGAAAACACGGA
rnacentral:rRNA from 1 species